rnacentral:rRNA from 1 species
CCCUUAGAUGUUCUGGGCCGCACGCGUGCUACACUGAGUGGAUCAGCGGGUCAGGUUGCGCGAAAGUGUUUCCUAAUCUUGAAAUCCGCUCGUGAUGGGGAUUAACGGUUGCAAUUUUCCGUCAUGAACGAGGAAUACCUUGUAAGCGCGGGUCAUCAUCCCGCGCUGAAUACGUCCCUGCCCUUUGUACACACCGCCCGUCGCUCCUACCGAUUGAGUGGUCCGGUGAGGCUUUGGGAUCUGAGCGGAAAGAGCGUUUCGCUGUUUCUGCUCGGAAAACUCAGUCGAACCUUAUCAUUUAGAGGAAGGAGAAGUCGUAACA